rnacentral:rRNA from 1 species
UGAGGAAUAUUGGACAAUGGAGGCAACUCUGAUCCAGCCAUGCCGCGUGAAGGACUAAGGCCCUAUGGGCUGUAAACUUCUUUAGACGCAGAGCAAUAAGGGCCACGCGUGGUCCGAUGAGAGUAUGCGUAGAAUAAGCAUCGGCUAACUCCGUGCCAGCAGCCGCGGUAAUACGGGGGAUGCGAGCGUUAUCCGGAUUCAUUGGGUUUAAAGGGUGCGUAGGCGGCUUUGCAAGUCAGCGGUGAAAGGCCCGGGCUCAACCCGGAAAGUGCCGUUGAUACUGUGAGGCUGGAAUGCGGAUGCUGUGGGAGGAAUGAGUGGUGUAGCGGUGAAAUGCAUAGAUAUCACGCAGAACUCCGAUUGCGAAGGCAGCAUACCGGCGCUCAACUGACGCUGAGGCACGAAAGCGUGGGGAUCAAACAGGAUUAGAUACCUGGUAGU